GAUGAAGAACGCAGCGAAAUGCGAUAAGUAAUGUGAAUUGCAGAAUUCAGUGAAUCAUCGAAUCUUUGAACGCACAUUGCGCCCGCCAGUAUUCUGGCGGGCAUGCCUGUCCGAGCGCCAUUUCAACCCUCGAACCCCUCCGGGGGGUCGGCGUUGGGGACCUCGGGAGCCCCUAAGACGGGAUCCCGGCCCCGAAAUACAGUGGCGGUCUCGCCGCAGCCUCUCCUGCGCAGUAGUUUGCACAACUCGCACCGGGAGCGCGGCGCGUCCACGUCCGUAAAACACCCAACUUCUGAAAUGUUGACCUCGGAUCAGGUAGGAAUACCCGCUGAACUUAAGCAUAUCAUAAGCGGAGGA
rnacentral:misc_RNA from 1 species